UCGGACCUUGGGCAAAAUGCGACAAAAUUUCAGGAAAAAGAAGGGUUACAACUCAGCUUCACCAGGGUUUGUUUUGCAAAAUGGGUGGAACAAAUUGAUCUUCACCUCAAUGCGCGUACAACACGCCCAAACUCCAUGCCAUGCUAAACAGGCCCUACCUACCAUACAAGCAAAACUAGCGGCUGGGAAGAACUACGAUGAAGUGAUGAACCACUUGAACAAGUUACCAGGUGAAAAUGUGCAAUUUACAUGUUCAUGGACUUAACAAGUUUGGGGAUCUAACAUAUGAUUUACUCUAAACAUCUUACGAGUUCUAUACUGACUGACAUUUGUACAUGUUAGAUUAGGACAAAAUCGUUGCAACCAAAUUUUUUAAUUUGUAAUUUAAUAGAAUGCCAAAGCAAUCAUGUGGACAACACAACAUUGUUCAAAGCAUAACAUGUCUUUAUGUUUACAGAUACCAUAUGAUGUAGACUGCAGCUACUGAACAAGCAAG
rnacentral:lncRNA from 1 species